AACCAUUCUCACCUGCGGCUAGACCUGCGGAAGGAUCAUUACCGAGUUUACAACUCCCAAACCCCUGUGAACAUACCACUUGUUGCCUCGGCGGAUCAGCCCGCUCCCGGUAAAACGGGACGGCCCGCCAGAGGACCCCUAAACUCUGUUUCUAUAUGUAACUUCUGAGUAAAACCAUAAAUAAAUCAAAACUUUUAACAAUGGAUCU
rnacentral:misc_RNA from 1 species